rnacentral:rRNA from 1 species
UGCCAGCCGCCGCGGUAAUACGUAGGGGGCAAGCGUUAUCCGGAAUCACUGGGUGUAAAGGGUGCGUAGGCGGUUAUGUAAGUCAGAUGUGAAAACCCGAGGCUCAACUUCGGGAUUGCAUUUGAAACUGUGUAACUAGAGUGCAGGAGAGGAAAGUGGAAUUCCUAGUGUAGCGGUGAAAUGCGUAGAUAUUAGGAGGAACACCAGUGGCGAAGGCGGCUUUCUGGACUGUAACUGACGCUGAGGCACGAAAGCGUGGGGAGCGAACAGGAUUAGAUA